UUGCUCGCUUCGGCAGCACAUAUACUAAAAUUGGAACGAUACAGAGAAGAUUAGCAUGGACCUACUCUUUAAAUCAUUUUGGAAGAAAUGAAUGAUUUUUUU
ensembl:snRNA U6 U6 spliceosomal RNA